rnacentral:rRNA from 1 species
AGAGUUUGAUCGUGGCUCAGAUUGAACGCUGGCGGCAGGCUUAACACAUGCAAGUCGAGCGGAGAUGAGGUGCUUGCACCUUAUCUUAGCGGCGGACGGGUGAGUAAUGCUUAGGAAUCUGCCUAUUAGUGGGGGACAACAUUCCGAAAGGAAUGCUAAUACCGCAUACGUCCUACGGGAGAAAGCAGGGGAUCUUCGGACCUUGCGCUAAUAGAUGAGCCUAAGUCGGAUUAGCUAGUUGGUGGGGUAAAGGCCUACCAAGGCGACGAUCUGUAGCGGGUCUGAGAGGAUGAUCCGCCACACUGGGACUGAGACACGGCCCAGACUCCUACGGGAGGCAGCAGUGGGGAAUAUUGGACAAUGGGGGGAACCCUGAUCCAGCCAUGCCGCGUGUGUGAAGAAGGCCUUAUGGUUGUAAAGCACUUUAAGCGAGGAGGAGGCUACUGAGACUAAUACUCUUGGAUAGUGGACGUACUCGCAGAAUAAGCACCGGCUAACUCUGUGCCAGCAGCCGCGGUAAUACAGAGGGUGCGAGCGUUAAUCGGAUUUACUGGGCGUAAAGCGUGCGUAGGCGGCUUUUUAAGUCGGAUGUGAAAUCCCCGAGCUUAACUUGGGAAUUGCAUUCGAUACUGGGAAGCUAGAGUAUGGGAGAGGAUGGUAGAAUUCCAGGUGUAGCGGUGAAAUGCGUAGAGAUCUGGAGGAAUACCGAUGGCGAAGGCAGCCAUCUGGCCUAAUACUGACGCUGAGGUACGAAAGCAUGGGGAGCAAACAGGAUUAGAUACCCUGGUAGUCCAUGCCGUAAACGAUGUCUACUAGCCGUUGGGGCCUUUGAGGCUUUAGUGGCGCAGCUAACGCGAUAAUAGACCGCCUGGGA